rnacentral:rRNA from 1 species
AGUGAACGCUGGCGGUAGGCCUAACACAUGCAAGUCGAACGGCAGCACAGUAAGAGCUUGCUCUUACGGGUGGCGAGUGGCGGACGGGUGAGGAAUACAUCGGAAUCUACUUUUUCGUGGGGGAUAACGUAGGGAAACUUACGCUAAUACCGCAUACGACCUACGGGUGAAGGCAGGGGAUCUUCGGACCUUGCGCGAUUGAAUGAGCCGAUGUCGGUUUAGCUAGUUGGCGGGGGAAAGGCCCACCAAGGCGACGAUCCGUAGCUGGUCUGAGAGGAUGAUCAGCCACACUGGAACUGAGACACGGUCCAGACUCCUACGGGAGGCAGCAGUGGGGAAUAUUGGACAAUGGGCGCAAGCCUGAUCCAGCCAUACCGCGUGGGUGAAGAAGGCCUUCGGGUUGUAAAGCCCUUUUGUUGGGAAAGAAAAGCAGCAGGUUAAUACCCCGCUGUUCUGACGGUACCCAAAGAAUAAGCACCGGCUAACUUCGUG